GAAAUGCGAUAAGUAAUGUGAAUUGCAGAAUUCAGUGAAUCAUCGAAUCUUUGAACGCACCUUGCGCCCCCUGGUAUUCCGGGGGGCAUGCCUGUUCGAGCGUCAUUUCACCACUCAAGCCUCGCUUGGUAUUGGGCGACGCGGUCCGCCGCGCGCCUCAAAUCGACCGGCUGGGUCUUUCGUCCCCUCAGCGUUGUGGAAACUAUUCGCUAAAGGGUGCCGCGGGAGGCCACGCCGUAAAACAACCCCAUUUCUAAGGUUGACCUCGGAUCAGGUAGGGAUACCCGCUGAACUUAAGC
rnacentral:misc_RNA from 1 species